AUGCAUUGGGCAUGGAAAAACUGUCCAUUUGCUUGGCAGGGGAUGUACAGAGGUUCCAAAGGAGCUUGCAGUUUGGUACUUGAGGUGGUGGCCAAACAGGACCUCUGGAUUUGGCAAUCCUUCUUCGGUAUGCCAGGAACUCACAAUGACAUCAACGUACUGCAGUGCUCGAAUGUUUUUGCCAAGCUUGUUGAAGGUCAUGCUCCUCCAGUGAACUUCAAAGUCAAUGGGCGCCACUACAACAAGGGAUACUACCUAGCAGAUGGCAUCUAUCCGAGAUGGUCCACAUUUGUGAAGACUAUCUCAAACCCUAUGCCAGGAGGCAAGAACUCCUACUUUGCCAAGUGUCAGGAGGCUUGCAGGAAGAAUAUCGAGCGGGCGUUUGGUGUGCUCCAAUCUCGAUUUGUUGUUGUCUGGUACCCCUCUCUGACCUGGUUGAAAGAUCAAAUGUGGAAAGUCAUGACUUGCCGUGUCACCUUGCACAACAUGAUCAAUGAGAGCGAUAAGGAAGAGCCAGUGUUUGACACUGAACCAUAUUACAUGCUGGGUCCUCUUGCCAAAGUUGAUCACCAGCUACUGGCAACCUGGUCUGCCUUACUCAAUAUGCGUCAGGAGAUGCGAGACCCACAUGUGCAUCAAGAACUGCAAUAUGAUUUGGUGGAGCACCUAUAG
rnacentral:rRNA from 1 species